rnacentral:sRNA from 1 species
AGAAAAGUAGCUGCCGCCCCGCACAGGGGCAGCGCCAAUAGACCGCCAUGAAAGCAAGCUCAACGAGAAACGCGGAUCACAGACAAAAACCCGUGCCCCGCGCAACCCUCAC